GGAUCGAUGAUGAUUCUUCUAUAAACAUUCCUUGGAAAAGCUGAACAAAAUGAGUGAGACUCACUACGUCUCUCUCAUCGCAACUGAGGUCA
rnacentral:snoRNA from 1 species